CAAGCCAGUCGGUUGACACAACCAACGUUCCCGUGUGUCUGUGCCCAAUUUGGAUAUACUAAGUGCAGUUUAUCAAAGAGUUGGAGGCAGAGUGAAGUGUGGAGUAUUGUGUGAUAACUGUGUGACUUAAAAUGCGUACAGAGGGAUCGGUUACAACAACAAGAGAUAAUGGAUAACUUCGAUGGCCCGCCAGGGCACUGUCUCAAAGUGGAGAGUCAUGGUGGCCCUGGGAGGUACCUGCCGGCGGCGUCCUCCUACCAUUCCCACCCAUCACCCGACCCAGCAAAUCUUAGUUUCGGCUCGCUCAACGAUGACGAUGAUUUCGGCUUCACGAAAAAGAAGGCUGUUAGGGUAAGU